GUCUUGGCACAGGAAGGCGACUGUUAACAGGUUUCGAAUACGUAUCAGAUACAGUUAUGGCAAAGAUUAUGCGUGUUUUAAUUCUAGCUCUACUGACAUUCGUUCAAGAAGCUGGAGCUGUGAGGUGUAAUGAAUGGACUAAAUUCUACGACAGAGAUGACCCCACGAUGUAUUCAGAUUUCGAAGGUCUCGAUUUAAUUCGACAGGAGAACCCCAACGAUUACAUCUGUACUAACCCAUUAGCUCUAGAGGCUGAAACCCUUGAUGGUCGUAGAUACGAUACAACUGGUGAUGUGGUAAAGAUAGCGGCUGAUUUUACAUAUUUUACCUGCAACAAUAAUGAUCAGCCUAAUGGUAAACGAUGUGAGGAUUACAGGGUUAGAUUCUGUUGUAUGAGAAAAAUGCCCAGAUGUUUGAAUGGCCAAUGGACCCGUUUCUUCAAUGAUGACAAACCUACUUUAGAUGGUGAUUUUGAGUUAUUAGCUGACCUUAGAACUAGACAUGCCGCGAUAUUAUGCGAAAGGCCAACAGCCAUUGAAGUUCAAGAAGUAGGUACCGGUAUGGACUUCAGAAGGAUUAACCAAAAUGUAGAUGUUAGCCCUUCGUUGGGUUUAUCCUGUCGUAACUCGAACAAGUUCAACUCUGGUUGCAGGAAUUAUCAAGUUCGAUUCU